CACGUAGGGCGCAAGCGUUGUCCGGAAUUAUUGGGCGUAAAGAGCUCGUAGGCGGUCUGUUACGUCUGCUGUGAAAACCCGGGGCUUAACCCUGGGCUUGCAGUGGAUACGGGCAGACUAGAGGCAGGUAGGGGAGAAUGGAAUUCCCGGUGUAGCGGUGAAAUGCGCAGAUAUCAGGAGGAACACCGGUGGCGAAGGCGGGUCUCUGGGCCGAAAUUGACGCUGAGGAGCGAAAGCGUGGGGAGCAAACAGG
rnacentral:rRNA from 1 species